CCUACGGGUGGCAGCAGUGAGGAAUAUUGGUCAAUGGGCGCGAGCCUGAACCAGCCAAGUCGCGUGAAGGAUGACUGCCCUACGGGUUGUAAACUUCUUUUAUAAAGGAAUAAAGUGAGGCACGUGUACCUUUUUGUAUGUACUUUAUGAAUAAGGAUCGGCUAACUCCGUGCCAGCAGCCGCGGUAAUACGGAGGAUCCGAGCGUUAUCCGGAUUUGUUGGGUUUAAAGGGAGCGUAGAUGGGUUGUUAAGUCAGUUGUGAAAGUUUGGGGCUCAACCGUAAAAUUGCAAUUGAUACUGGCAGUCGUGAGUGCAGUUGAGGUAGGCGGAAUUCGUGGUGUAGCGGUGAAAUGCGUAGAUAUCACGAAGAACUCCGAUGGCGAAGGCAGCUUACUGGACUGCCACUGACGUUGAUGCUCGAAAGCGUGGGUAUCAAACAGGAUUAGAUACCCCAGUAGUC
rnacentral:rRNA from 1 species